rnacentral:rRNA from 1 species
AACGAACGCUGGCGGCAUGCCUAACACAUGCAAGUCGAACGAUGCCUUCGGGCAUAGUGGCGCACGGGUGCGUAACGCGUGGGAAUCUGCCCUUCGGUUCGGAAUAACUCAGGGAAACUUGAGCUAAUACCGGAUGAUGACGUAAGUCCAAAGAUUUAUCGCCGAAGGAUGAGCCCGCGUAGGAUUAGGUAGUUGGUGGGGUAAUGGCCCACCAAGCCGACGAUCCUUAGCUGGUCUGAGAGGAUGAUCAGCCACACUGGGACUGAGACACGGCCCAGACUCCUACGGGAGGCAGCAGUGGGGAAUAUUGGACAAUGGGCGAAAGCCUGAUCCAGCAAUGCCGCGUGAGUGAUGAAGGCCUUAGGGUUGUAAAGCUCUUUUACCAGGGAUGAUAAUGACAGUACCUGGAGAAUAAGCUCCGGCUAACUCCGUGCCAGCAGCCGCCGUAACAC